GGAUCAACACAGUCAGUUUGGGAUUCUCUAUUCAAGCUCUGAUAUUGAUUUCAUAUUCGCCCUCUGGCUUCAGGCACUCACUUGGGUCAGGGGCACCCUACAGUCUGAGCCCCUUUCGGGGAGAGAGUGGAACAGAACAUGGGUUUGAGGUCAGGUGGCUCUGGGUUCUGACCCUGAGUCCUUGAAUCACUAGGUUUUGCUAUCUUGGUCAAUUUACCUGACCUCAGCUUUCCUAUUUGUGAGAUACAAAGAGAAAUAUUAUAUUGUAAGCUUGUUGUCAGCAGUGAUUCUCAAAGUUUGGUCUUUGGAACAUCAAUCCUAUGAGAUGGAAAAGGUUUUUAUUAUCAAGUGAGUUUGGCAAAUGCUCAAUAUCAUAUCCUCAUCUUGGGAAUUCUCAAAUAACAAAAGAAUGGGUUCCACUUUCAUUAACUCAGUUUUUCUAAACAACAAAAUUCCUUUUUGCAAGGAAUACCUGUUAGCAUCCUGUAGAACCAAUGUUUUGUGUAAUCCAUGGUGGGGAAAGCUGCUUGGGAAGAUCAGAAAUGCUCAACACCAGGCCCUCUGCUCGGCUCCUGGCACAUGCAUCGUGGACACCAGGAAGCAUGAGUGCCUGUUGCAUUUCUUCCUAAUGUCAGUCCUCAGAGUACAGCAAGUGGAAGUUCACCAACAGCCCCACGUUCCUGGAGUUGCUGGAGGAGUUCCCAUCCCUGCAGGUGUCUGCUGGCUUCCUGCUCUCCCUGCUCCCCAUUCUGAAGCCCAGGUUUUACUCCAUCAGCUCCUCCCAGGAUCACACGCCCACAGCGAUCCACCUGACUGUGGCCGUGCUCAUGUACCACACUCGAGAUGGCCAGGGUCCCCUGCACCACGGCGUCUGCGGCACAUGGCUCAACAACUGAAGCCCCAAGACCAAGUGUCCUGCUUUGUGCGGAAGAGUGCAGGGAGGCCGCAUGACCCCGGUGUUCGAGUGCCGCAGCCCAAAUGAGGACCACAUCUACCAGGAGGAGAUGCUGGAGAUGGCUCGGAAGGGGGUGCUGCCUGCGGUGCCCACAGCCUAUUCCUGCCUGCCUGGCAAGCCCAAGAGCCAGAAGCACUUCCAUGACGAUAUCUUUGGUGCUGUAUUUCCCUACGAGGCAAAGAAGGACAGGGCGGCGGUGCAGCCCAGCAGCCUGGAGAUGUCAGCGCUCUGAGGGCCCACAGGAGGGGUUAAAGCUGCCAGCACAGAACUUAACGAUGGAGCCAGCUCUGCAUUAUCCGAGGUCACAGGGCCUGGGGAGAUGGAGGAAAGUGAUAUCCCCCAGCCUCACUUCUUAUUUCUCACCUCGUUCCCCAUCAAGCCCUUUACUUGACCUCCUACCAAGUAGCACCCUGGAUUGAUCGGAGCCUCCUCUCUCAAGCUGGGGCCACCCUGGUCCCUUGGAGACGAAAUCUUCAAUGCCAGGCCUGGCAAGUGGGUGAAAGAUGGAACCCGCUGCUGAGUGCACCACUUCAAGUGACCACCAGGAAGUGCCGUCACACCACUGUGUAUUUAACUGCCAUGGGUAAAAUUAUUUAUGCCUCUGUUUAAAAAACGAACACCCUAGUCUGUUCCUAAUGGCCCCUUGGGUCUUCUCUGUAUGAUUCCCUGAUGGAGAUAUUUACAUGCAUUGAAUUUUACUUUAA
ensembl:lncRNA novel transcript